rnacentral:misc_RNA from 1 species
GCUAUUAAGGGUCAGAUCUAUGACGUCUCCCAGAGCAGGUAUAAAAUAAAAAAUUUUUGGUUUGGGUUUUCGGUUUGUCAAUUUUGUGGGUUUACUUUUUUCAGGUUUCCAUUCUUUUGGGUCAGCGGGUGUUUUAGCUGCUGUGUGAUAGAAAUUUCUAGAAAAUUAUUACUUGGGUUGGGAAAAUUUUAAUUUCUUUUAGAUGAUAGAUUGAUUUAGAGUUGACCGUUUCUGAUCUCUUUCACCUUUUCUCUAUCAUCCGUUUUAGCCACUACUACACUUUAUAGUUGGUGACCUGCUUUAUGCUUGCUUUUUGGUCUCUGAUAAAAAGAUGCUACUUUUGUAUAUUCUUCUUUUUUUUGUUGAAAACUUUUGUAUGUUCAACAAGUGAAAAUUGUGCAAUUUCUUAAUUCUUUUUAUAGAUUACUAGUACAGUACUUUUAAAUAUUAAAAAAAAUUAUUGCUAUAUUCUUUUAAUUUUCAAAUAUAUGUUUUCUGGGGUUUCUGGAGAAUCUAGCAUGUGACUGUUGCAAAUCUUCAACUUUGUUUCUCGUGAUGAAUGAUUAAUUUUGAGUUCUUUGAUUUGAAUUAUUGGACUGAUUAUCUGCCUUCUCCUCUCUCUGGUUACUGCGUUCCUAAUGAGUAAAUGAUGUUAAAUUAUGGAGAUUCUGUGAAGCAAGAUUGAUUAGAUAAUUUAAAAUUCGAGCUUUCAGCAACUCAUGCUAAAUAUCUUAUUCAAACUUGUAAGUACAAGAAGAACUUAAUUGGGAUUUCAAUGUACAGAGGUUGCAAUUUGCAAUAGAAUAGCUGUACUAUCUCCAUGUAAUAGAGGGAUAUCAAUGUGCAAUUUGCACUCACUAUGAGUCUUGUGAUUCUAGGAGUUGAUUGGCAUUCAGCGGAAGGUUGCUAGUUUGUUGUAUCCAUUGUUUUAUGUUUCUAUGACCUCACUGGAAUGUUUAUUUUGUUUUAUGCAAGUAACAAAAUGUAGCUGGGUUUGAUAUGUCAUGAUUAUUGUGAAUCUUAGAUUUGCAGCCGUCUUUUCUUCCUUUCUCCUUUUUGAUUGAUUUGGCUUCAUUUUGUGUAAUCCAGUUCUGCAUAUUUACUAAAUAUCAUUUGUUGCUGUUUGUAAUUAUAUUGUGUAAUGUCAUGAACAACUAGAUCUGCGUAGUCAUAUAAUUGCAGCUGAUUUGUGGCAUUUGAAAUGCAUUGCAUGGAUCAUAACUUCUCAGUGAUAUAAUAUCUAAUUAAGAAUAUCACAUCGUGCAUCAUGCUAUGUCUAUCACAUUGAGACAGAAAACCUUUGUGCAUGCUUUUUUACUUGAUUUGUAUUUUUAACAUUUUUAGAAGAGAGUUUGGUUGUUCUGUCGGUAUGAAUUGUAUGAUGGAAUUUUGAACUUCUUCCACCAAUGCACAAAUUUUUUGCUAAUACAAUUUGCAGAAACUACUUAUAAUUUGUUAUGUAUUACCAUUGUCGCAGGAUGUUUUAUGGGCCUGGUGGACCUUAUGCAUUAUUU